AGAUCUCGGUUGCGGAAACGUUAUGGCGGUGACUCGAAGCAAUUCUUGUCCUGCUAAGCACGUUUGUCUCCGGACAAAAGAUGACGGUCAAGUCCACGUCUGUUCCCCCUUUCCUUGUGUUUGCGGGGAUAUGACGUGGUCUUGCCGUGAUUUAUGAAUGCUACCUGGUUGAUCCUGCCAGUAGUCAUAUGCUUGUCUCAAAGAUUAAGCCAUGCUGUGUAAGUAUGAACGAAUUC
rnacentral:rRNA from 1 species